rnacentral:misc_RNA from 1 species
CUCUGUGAUGUGAGAGAAGAGGUGGGGACUGGACUGCGGGAGUGGGCGUUAUGGAUGGGCGACCGGCCUCAGGUGGUGGGCGCGGGCGGCGACGUGGCAAGGCGACCGGACGGGCGCCGCUGCAGCCUGCAGGCAGAGAGCACGAGAGAGCCGACUGGUAACUGCCGGAGCGGGGCGGCGGGCGAGGAGGAGGAUGCUUCGGUUUCAAGGCUAGCGGACGACGUGCUGGCCGUCGGAUCAGGGCGCGCGGGGGUUCAUUCCAUUCAUGGCGCGCGCUUCUCCUCCACGCGAACUCCCAACUUUGAGACCAAAGCUUGUCGGACGGACCCAUGGGAUUUGCAGACCCCAAACUGUACUAUUGCUAUAAAAAAAUUACGAAUCCAUUUUUAAUCAGAAAAAAACUUAAAACAAUUCUUUUUAAAAUUAGAAAAAAUUGAUUCCAUUUGUUAACGUUUCGUACCGCCGACUGAUAAAUCUGUAGCCGUUCCUACGGUCUCUAGCACUCGAAUCAAAGUCAGAAUUUAUACUCGUUCAACAAACACGCCCAGUGGCGGAUCUAGGAUUUGACCACUGGGUAUGCGAUACAAAAAAUGUCUUAUGCAAUUCGAUAAAACUACGAUAACAAAUCUUAAUACAAAUUGUUCAAAUGAAAUACUAUACCAUGUGCAUAUAUAUAUAUAUA